ensembl:lncRNA
UAGAUAUAGCAGCAGGGACAUUUCUCCAGGACAGGACCCAAAUUGCUUGACAUGAUGAUUUCAUUCUAGGAGGAGUGCUGGGUCUCCUUUCACAGUGGCCUUCAAGUGUUCUCAGAUGUCAUCAGCUAGGGGUAGAUGUGUGCGGGUGGAGUAGGCUGUUAACAGACGGGACUCUUACUUUCAUCAGUUUGAAAACCACAACUUUUUAACUGAUAGAAUUCAUAAACUUCAAACAUGUAAACCAUUCCUGUUCAUGCAAAUGUCAAGCAAAAAGUCCAACACCAGAGUACCUCAGGCUCAUGAAAAUGAGACAGUCAAGCCAUUCCUGAAAACAAGCACAUAUAAACUGUUUAUGUAUAAUUUGCAGGCCUGCUAGUAGUCUUCCCAAACCAGCUUCUGGGAAAAGCAGAAUAUCAUUUUUAGCCAGGAGUGUGGUCACCAAGCAAUGGAUUUUUCCAGGAGACACCUACAAUAUUUGAUAUCCAAACUCCCUGUCCUCUUUCCUGGCCUUAUACCCAGAUUGGAACCCACCAGGCAAACCCCAAACUUUGCAUUGCAGGCAGGCACUGUGAAGUGCACCCUGGGGAAAGGCCUAGAAAGAGUGAGCCAGUGUUCAAAAUGAAAUCCUUCCACAGUAUUUGUCUCCCAGCCUCUCCACACACUCCUGGGCCCCACAGCCUGCUCAAGGCUCUCCUGGAAUCCCUUAUUUGUGUCUUAGAUGGUGGGUGGAGGCAGGUAUGACAGCGCAUCCCUGUCAUCCCAGGACUCUGGGAAGCCUAAGCAGGAGGAACAGAGGCAGGAAGAUUGCAAGUUUGAGCCCAGCCCAGGCAAUUUCGCAACUUAGUGACAUUCUGUUUUGAAAUACUAAUUAAAAAAAAAAAUCUGGAGAUAUAAGAAGGGGUGGGGAACUGAGGCUCUCCAAGGGACUUUUCCUGUAAAUCUGAUGCUGUAUCUAUUUGUCAGGAUCCACAUUUGCUUUGGAAAGCCCUAUAUACUUGUGUCUCUGGUAAAAAUAAGUUAACGUGAUUUUUGAGGUCUUUUAAAUUUUACUAUUUUAACCAUUUUUAAGUGCACAGUUAAGUAUUAGGUACAUUCAUGUUGUGGUGCAAAUAUCACCACUAACCAUCCACAAAGCUUUUUUUCAUCUCAAAGAACUGAAAUUCUAUAUCCAUUAUACACGACCGCCCCCCACCCCCAUCCCUGGCAACCACCAUUCUCUUGUCUCUAUAUUUGACUACUCUAAAUAUCCCAUGUGAGUGAAAUUAUAUAGUACCGUUCUUUGUGAGUGGUCUCUUUAAUUUAGCAUAAUUCUGCAAGGCUGUAGCUUGUGUCAGAACUUCCUUUUUAUAGCUGAAUAAUACUGUAGAUUAUAAACCACAUUUAUUUAUCCAUUCAUCUGUUUUAGGUUUGCAUGUACCUUUUGGCUAUGGUAAAUAUGGGAUCAACUGAGACUAAGUUAUUUCUUACAAAGGCACAUUCCUCAGUUGGUUUUCAGUUUGUUUACAAACUAAAUUAAGCUACAGUUUGGUACAUAGGACUGGCCCAAAUUUAGUUCGAUUUAACACCACCAAGCUAUUUUCCAGGAGACACCAGCUGGAUGUCCUAUAAUUCAGUUCAAUUCUGACACCUAUCUACCUGUCCCAUAAACCCACGCCCCCAUUUCAGAUGGCAAUGCCAAGUGCCAGGUUGUGACCUGUGUUUCUUUUCUUUUUUUGUGGUACCAGGGAUUGAACUCAGGACCUUGUGCUUGCCAGGCAGGCACAGCACUGAGCCACAUUGCCAGCCCAUGACCUGAGUUUCCGACUGGCUAUAAAUUGGGGUUCCUGGUCCCCAAUCUGGAGUUCAGUAGUUUGCUAGGAUGGUUCACAGAACUCACAAAAACACUACUUACAUCAAUUAAAUGGAGAUUAUAAAAGAUACAGAUGAACAGCCAGUGUAUCUUUGGCCUUUACCCUGGGAUUUGUGAAGGAGAGAGAGAAUUUCAGGGCUGAAGAUGCCAUCUUGAAAUCAAGCAUCAAAACUCUUUGAUGAAAAACCCCCAGAAAACUCUUCGAUGAGGCUAUUAAAAUAUAAAUGUCAUAGAAGAAAGUGUGCUCUCCAAACCCUCUUUUAGAAGGUGUUGAUGUAUCUGUCACCCUUAAAAGAACUUUUUUAAAGCCUAAUGUUUUCUCACCAAUAAUCUCUUUGCUCUAAAUUUAACACUAUUUCAAUAUUGUUUUAAUUCUUGUGGUAAAUACUAAUGAGGAGAUAAUCUUUCAUGUUGUGAUCCAAUGAACUUGCCACUGAGUGAAUAAUAAGUACAUUAAAAAAAUUUGGAGGAGGUCGGGGAUUUAGCGUAGUGGUUCUGCCACCUGCCCCAUAAGCACAAGGACCGGAGUUUGAUCCCUGGUGCCAAAAAAAAGAAAUUUUUUUUUGAGGGGCUGGGGAUGUAGCUCAGUGGUGCUGCACCUGCCUGGCAAAUGCAAGGUCCUGAGUUCAAGCUUCAGUACUGAAAAAAAAAAUUUUUUUUUAAGGAAAAAAGUG